rnacentral:rRNA from 1 species
UACAGAGGUCCCGAGCGUUGUUCGGAUUCAUUGGGCGUAAAGGGUGCGUAGGCGGCGGGGCAAGUCUGAUGUGAAAUCCCGGGGCUCAACCCCGGAACUGCAUUGGAUACUGCCUUGCUUGAGUACUGGAGAGGAGACUGGAAUUUACGGUGUAGCAGUGAAAUGCGUAGAUAUCAGGAGGAACACCGAUGGCGAAGGCAGGUCUCUGGGCAUUAACUGACGCUGAGGAGCGAAAGCAUGGGGAGCGAACAGG